rnacentral:rRNA from 1 species
UGAUCCGAAGAUUUCCGAAUGGGACAACCCAAUAUCUUGAAGAGAUAUUAUCCAACUCAGUUGGAGGCUAACGCAGGGAACUGAAACAUCUUAGUACCUGCAGGAAAAGAAAAUAAUAAUGAUUCCCCCAGUAGUGGCGAGCGAACGGGGAAUAGCCCAAACCGGUUAUGUUACGGCAUGACCGGGGUAGUAGGACUACGGCAUUGCAUGAAAACAACAGAGAAGAACUUUCUGGAAAGAAAGACCAUAGAGCAUGAUAGUUGCGUAUUCGAAUGUUGUCGAAGCAUAGUAGUAUCCUGAGUAGCGCGGAGCACGAGGAAUUCUGCGUGAAUCAGCCGGGACCAUCCGGUAAGGCUAAAUACUCCCGAGAGACCGAUAGUGAACCAGUACUGUGAAGGAAAGGUGAAAAGCACUUCGAACAGAAGAGUGAAAUAGUUCCUGAAACCAUGUGCCUACAAGCGGUCGGAGCACCUUCUGGUGUGACGGCGUGCCUUUUGCAUAAUGAACCUACGAGUUACUUUUUCCGGCGAGGUUAAGGAUUUCAGAUCUGCAGCCGAAGCGAAAGCGAGUCUGAACAGGGCGUAUAGUCGGAAGGAGUAGACGCGAAACCAAGUGAUCUACCCUUGGGCAGGUUGAAGGAUGGGUAACACCAUCUGGAGGACCGAACCAAUAAGCGUUGAAAAGCUUCUGGAUGACCUGAGGGUGGGGGUGAAAGGCUAAUCAAACUUGGAGAUAGCUCGUACUCCCCGAAAUGCAUUUAGGUGCAGCCUUGACUUAUACUGGCAUGAGGUAGAGCGACUGAUAAGAUGCGAGGGCUUCACCGCCUAUCAAGUCUUGAUAAACUCCGAAUGCGCAUUAGUUCUAUCACAGGAGUGAGGGCAUGGGUGCUAAGGUCCAUGUCCUAAAGGAGAACAAUCCGGACCAACAGCUAAGGUCCCGAAAUGAAUACUAAGUUGAACUAACGAAGUCAGAUUGCUAAGACAGCUAGGAUGUUGGCUUGGAAGCAGCCAUUCAUUUAAAGAGUGCGUAACAGCUCACUAGUCGAGGAGUUUGGCGUGGAUAAUAAUCGGGCAUAAGUAUUCUACCGAAGCUUUGGGAUGAGAAAUCAUCGGUAGGGGAGCAUUCCACUCUGCGUCGAAGGUGAAGCGCGAGCUUUGCUGGAGCGUGUGGAAAAGCAAAUGUAGGUAUAAGUAACGAUAAAGGGGGUGGGAAACCCCCUCGCCGAAAGACUAAGGUUUCCUGAUCAACGCUAAUCGGAUCAGGGUAAGUCGGGUCCUAAGGCUCAGCCGAACGGCGAGGCCGAUGGCAGAACCGGUUAAUAUUCCGGUACUACCUGUGGGAGUGACGUGGAGACGGAGUCGUGACAGCGCCGCGGACUGACGGAAUAGUCCGUUGAAGGGUGUAGAUGCUGAUUGUUCCAGGCAAAUCCGGAGCAAGAGUCGAACCUGACAGUAUGGAGCGUUCUUAGAACAAUCCAAUAGUGCGUGUAAUCAUACUUCCAAGAAAAUCCGCUAAACUUAAUCCUGCAGGUACCCGUACCGCAAACGGACACACGUAGUCGGGUUGAAUAUACUAAGGCGCUUGAGUGAUUCACGGUUAAGGAACUAGGCAAACUGACCCUGUAACUUCGGGAUAAAGGGUCCUCGCUUAACGGCGAGGCGCAGAGAAUAGGUCCAGGCAACUGUUUAACAAAAACACAGGGCUGUGCAAAAUUGAAAGAUGAAGUAUACAGCCUGACACCUGCCCGGUGCUGGAAGGUUAAGAGGAGAUGUCAUCGCAAGAGAAGCAUUGAAUUGAAGCCCCAGUAAACGGCGGCCGUAACUAUAACGGUCCUAAGGUAGCGAAAUUCCUUGUCGGGUAAGUUCCGACCUGCACGAAUGGUGUAAUGAUCUGGACGCUGUCUCAACCGUGAGCUCAGUGAAAUUGUAGUAUCGGUGAAGAUGCCGAUUACCCGCGAUGGGACGAAAAGACCCCGUGAACCUUUACUAUAGCUUAACAUUGAAUUUGGGUAAUUGAUGUGUAGGAUAGGCCGGAGGCUUUGAAGCGGGCACGCCAGUGUCCGUGGAGCCGCUGUUGAAAUACGGCCCUUUGAUUAUUUGAGUUCUAACCCGUUGUUGCGGGGACACUGUUUGGUGGGUAGUUUGACUGGGGUGGUCGCCUCCAAAAGU